rnacentral:tRNA from 1 species
GAGAGAGGUUAAGAACAGUAAGGAAUGCUAAUUCCUACGUCCAUGGUCCCAAAAUAUCAAUGUAUGGGAGGUCCCACCUGCCCGGUGAUGC